rnacentral:rRNA from 1 species
GACGAACGCUGGCGGCGUGCUUAACACAUGCAAGUCGAACGGAAAGGCCCUGCUUUUGUGGGGUGCUCGAGUGGCGAACGGGUGAGUAACACGUGAGUAACCUGCCCUUGACUUUGGGAUAACUUCAGGAACCUGGGGCUAAUACCGGAUAGGAGCUCCUGCUGCAUGGUGGGGGUUGGAAAGUUUCGGCGGUUGGGGAUGGACUCGCGGCUUAUCAGCUUGUUGGUGGGGUAGUGGCUUACCAAGGCUUUGACGGGUAGCCGGCCUGAGAGGGUGACCGGCCACAUUGGGACUGAGAUACGGCCCAGACUCCUACGGGAGGCAACAGUGGGGAAUAUUGCACAAUGGGCGGAAGCCUGAUGCAGCAACGCCGCGUGCGGGAUGACGGCCUUCGGGUUGUAAACCGCUUUCGCCUGUGACGAAGCGUGAGUGACGGUAAUGGGUAAAGAAGCACCGGCUAACUAGGU